GCCUAUUACGCCGAGCCACCUCUGCAAACCAGCAAGUAAAUAUUAGAAGAGCAAAAUGCCAGCAGUAAAAAAUAUUAAUCAUUGUAAAUUUUUAUUGACUGCCGGAUAAUAUAUAAAUAAAACAGUCAUUAUCCAUGCUCUCAUCACCAAGUAUGCCCAUUGUCCAAUAUUUCUAUUGACCUCUCAACAUUUGGCCAUCUACUUAAUGAACACAGUAAUAGAAUCAGUUUUUAAACACUAAACCAAUACCAACUAAGAAAUCCACCUAAGUUAAAAUUUAAAGUGAUUAUGGUAGUAAUAUAACAAUCAUUUUUGGAUUUUCCUAACUACUAUCACAAUGAUGUUAGAGAACACCACAUCAAAAUUAAUUUAAAAAGUAAACAAAUUUCAGAUUAUUAUCCAGUUAAUAGUUACACUUCUAUAUUUUGCAGUAAAUGUUAUGCUUUUACAGAUAUCACUUUCCCCAUAAGACAAGUUUUCUUUACAUAAUGUUCAACCUUCAAUUUCACUUUGAAAGGUUCAACAUCUUGCAGCAUCAACUUGAGCAAGAAUAACAUCCAACAUGCUAAAAGACAGCAAUACUACCAAAUUUUUAAGAUGGACCACUAGAGGGACAUCAAAUAUUAAAUAAUAUGAGCAAAUACUAAAAACUGAACAAUCAAAGACAACAAAUAUUUCUUUCAGUUGCUAAUAGCAAAGUUUAUUUCUGAUCUAGAAAGUUAUUCAUGACAUGAGCAAAAUGAUUAACAGAUAUCUAUUCAUUCAUUUGCCUGAAAGUCAAUGUAUUCAUGCAAAUGUGCGUACCAUCUCAUAACAGAUAUUAAGAUGCCAAAUCAACAGAAACAGGGAUAAUGAUUUUACCAGAAACCACAGAUCAAUAUACAUCAUAAGCAAAUCAACCAAAUAAUGAGAUAUUGAAGGUACAAAAAUCUCACCUACAGCUUCUUGGUUCCUCUGAG
rnacentral:misc_RNA from 1 species